rnacentral:rRNA from 1 species
CCUACGGGUGGCAGCAGUGGGGAAUCUUGCACAAUGGGGGCAACCCUGAUGCAGCGACGCCGCGUGAGCGAUGAAGCCUUUCGGGGUGUAAAGCUCUUUCGACAGGAACGCGGUACCUGGAGAAGAAGCUGCGGCUAACUACGUGCCAGCAGCCGCGGUAAUACGUAGGCAGCAAGCGUUGUUCGGAGUUACUGGGCGUAAAGAGUGCGUAGGCGGUCCUAUAAGUUCCGUGUGAAAUCUCCCGGCUCAACUGGGAGGGUGCGCGGGAGACUGUAGGGCUUGAGUGUGGGAGAGGUAAGCGGAAUUCCUGGUGUAGCGGUGAAAUGCGUAGAUAUCAGGAGGAACACCGGUGGUGUAGACAGCUUACUGGACAUACUGACGCUGAGGCACGAAAGCGUGGGUAGCAAACAGGAUUAGAUACCCCUGUAGUC